UACGUAGGCAGCGAGCGUUGUUCGGAAUUACUGGGCGUAAAGAGUGUGUAGGCGGUGCUCUAAGUUCGGUGUGAAAUCUCCUGCUUAACUGGGAGGGUGCGCCGGAAACUGGAGUGCUUGAGCGUGGGAGAGGAAAGCGGAAUUCCUGGUGUAGCGGUGAAAUGCGUAGAUAUCAGGAGGAACACCUGUGGUGUAGACGGCUUCUGGACCAUUGCUGACGCUGAGACACGAAAGCGUGGGUAGCAAACAGG
rnacentral:rRNA from 1 species